ACCUGUCUGCGGAACAUUGAUUGGUCGUUUUAACGACUUUUUUCUUGUGAGUAUUAGUGCUCCAAGUAGGCCUGGAAAAAUCUGUUUUUUCAACGGCCAUUACGUUUUCACCUUUGUUGGCUGCAGCUUCGUGAAAUGCAGAAGAAUACAAAACUUUCGCCAGCAAGAUCUGGCGGCAUCCAUGAGCGACCAAAGGAAAAGGCAACGGGCAACUUUCACCAGAAUUUUGUGCAUCGGAUCAUCAACUAUGAUUCCGAUCACUAGUAUACACAGUCAAGGCUGCAUUCCAAUGUUUAACGAAUUCGGAUGUCGAGGACACUAUCCCCGCGAUUGCUGCAAUUCAGUUAUAAAAAUGGUGCAAAGUGCAAAGUGUAAUAUAAAGAUGAAUAAAAUUUUUUUUUAUGAUUAAUAAUAUUUUUUUCUAUAAAUUUUAAUAUUUUCAAA